rnacentral:rRNA from 1 species
AUGAAGCUCAACCGGGUUCGCCGCCACCGCCGUGAUCUGUUGAAAGUCGACAGGCUAAUCAAACUGCCCGACGAUGUGCUGCUCAACAUCCUGGAGAGGCUCGGCACGCUCGACGCCGUCAGGACCUGCGUCGUCUCCAGGCAAACGCUCAACCUGCCGGCCUUGCUCUCGCAGAUCGUCAUCGAUCUCGGCGACCUUGAUCUACACCGCAAGAACCGCGGCGUGGCCGACAUGACCGACAAGAUCCUCAGCACGAGGUCUCCACAGAUCCCCAUCCGCAACCUCAAGCUCAGGUUCAUCAUGAGAGGCGACGACCAUCUCAAGAUCGGCAGGGCCGUCGCCCUCGCCAUGGCCACGCAGAAGAUCGACGCGGCCGAGUUCGAUAUCCUGACCAAGGACAUCUAUUAUAGGCGCUCCGAUGCCGAUCUUCUCGACUCCGCGAAGCUGUUCAACAACUUUAUCGGCGAGUGCGCCGACGCGUUUGCCGGUCUCACGCGGCUGCAUCUGCAGAACCUGAGGUUCGGUGAAUCGGACAUACCCAACAUCCUAGCCACCUGCAAGCGGCUGGAGUCGUUGUGUUUGCUCCAUUGUGACGCGCGGAAACUUCCGGUGCUGCACGUAGAGCAUGCCAGACUCGUUGAGCUUAUCUUCGCCUAUGCAAAGUUCUCAACAGUGGAGCUCGGCUGCCUGCCGGAGCUUCGACGGAUGACCUUGCAUAGAUGGAUAUUUGAUAACCUAGACAAUCCCUUGAUUUUGGGCUAUGCCCCUCAGCUCUCCAAGCUAACUCUGGCGCAUGCGUUCAUUAUAAACAGGACCCUCAAGCUGAGCCAGCUGCUUGUUAAUGUCCCUUCAAUAAGUGACCUGCACCUCGAUUUUCAAAGUGAAAAGGUUUGGGUUCUACCAGAAUGCCCUAAAGUGCUUGCACCUGUGCUCGGCAAACUACGGCGCGUGAAUCUUAACAAUCUUCCUGAGGAAUGUGACAUCGCUUGGACAAUGUUCCUUCUUGAAGCUGCGCCAUCCUUAGAGGAGCUUUGCAUCACAGUAUGGGAUCAUAAAUGCCAAUUGGAGUCGCAAAAAAGUUACUCCCAGAAAACCGAUGUGAACUGGGAGCCAUCUAAUCCCGGUUUCAAGGACAAUAAUCUUUCCAGACUAACUAUCUAUGGCUUCCAACCCAACGACAACUUCAUGGGAUACGUCAGGCGCGUCACUGAAGCUGCGGAGAACAUCAAGGAGGUAUCUCUAUACGACAGGAAGGUGUGCAAGCACUGCGUUGACAAGUUCCCUCAUCUCGGGGUUCGUCCUUGGAGUUGUCCACAGACCAGCGAGGAGGUGGAUUCAUUCAGACUGGAGAUCGCAGAGGUGAUCAAGGGGAGGGCGAUGGCGGUGGCUUCCACUCAUAAGGUCGGCCAUGAUUUAAAGAAAGCAUCUGACAACGAACACAUACCAAGCAAGCUGCCCAAUGGCAACAUUGUCGAGAGGGUGGGUACGCUUGAUCGUGUAAGAACCUGCAUCCUCUCGAGGCAAAUGCAUAAACUGCCUCGGCUCGCUGAUUCUCCACGAUAUUAUCCCCCACUAUUUCUUUCGAAUCAAUUGCGUCAUGGCCGACGUGAUAGACAAGGUCUUGAGCACGUGAUUUCCGCAGAUUACCAUUCGCAAGCUAGAGCUCAAGUUUUCUUGGGUCCCUCUCGUUGUCACUCCAUUGUUAUAUCAGCCGGCCUCGCCAUGGUGACCCAGAAACUAGAUGCAACCGAGUUUGAGAUCUUGAUGCCAAGGGAUACCUAUCAUUGCACCGAGGUGUAUCCCCUGGUCUUUGUUAAGCAGUUCGAUAAUUUUCUUCGUCAUUGUGCAAAUGCUUUUGAUGGCCUCAGAAGACCGCAACUGCAAAAUCUGAGGUUUGGUGAACUGGACAUACAGAACAUUCUAAGCACCUGCAAGCGGCUCGAGUCAUUGUGUUUCUUUGAGUGCGACGUGGGGAUCCAUUCAACAUUGCAUGUAGAACACACUCGACUCCUUGAGCUUGUUAUCUCCUAUGGGGAAUUCAAAACAAUGGAGCUUCACCAUCUACCAAAGCUCCAACAGAUGACCUACAAUGUUCCCUCCAUAAGCGAUUUGUACCAGGAAUAUUGGAGUGAAAAGAUUUGGGUUCAACGGGAAUGCCCGAAAGUGCUUACUCGUGUGCUUGCCAAACUACGGUUUAUGAAUUUGGAUAAUCUUCCUGAAGAAUGUGAUAUUGCUUGUACAAUGUUCCUUCUUGAGGCUGCAACAUCUCUAGAAGAGCUUUGCAUUACGGUAUGCGAUCAUAAGUGCCAAAGGAAGUCGCAAAAAUAA